GUCAGAAUAAGAAGUGACAGGAGGAAGGAUUUAUUCUCUUACGCUGCCAGCAGAGGGCGAUGCUGAUGUGUGACACUGGUGGAAGUCCUUAAUCCAUUCAGCAUAGGUAAGCAACAUACUAUCAGUCUUAAAAUGUUUUUGGCAUUUCUAUUGAACAUAAACCACAUGUGAACUUGUUUCUACAACAAAGAUGAACUUUUUUUGUGCAAUCACAAUCCCAAAUGAAGUCUCCCUCCAAUACUUUUGACAAGAGCCAAGGUGCAAAGGAGUUGAUAAGGUUUCCAAAACAUAUGAAAAGGCUUAGGAAAAUGUCCAAAGAUUUCAAAACAAACCAAUUUAGCAUGUAUUUAUCCUCUCUGUGGUUUGUUUGGAUCUACGUAUCUAUGAUUCUAUUGAGCUCUGAUGAUUUAUGAUUUCUAAGGUUAAAAAAAAACUCUAAAGAGGUCCUCUGAUUAGUCUGUCACUCAGUUCAAGAAAAUGUCAGUUUUGGGUUUCCUUUCUUCUUCUAUUUAGAGCACCUUAUAGAGUACAUUUAUAAUUAAUUUGGGAAAGCAGAUGAACUUCUAGAGUGCCAUGUGCAUCCAUGUGACCUUUCUAUAUAGGGGAGACCGGGGCUUGUUGUCACAUGGGUAAGAUGUCACAUUGCAAUUAUCUUUGCCACCAGAGGGCGCAACUGAAAAGUGGAAUACUAGUUUUCUUCCUUUACAUGGUCAGGGGUCGUGUCCUGUCUGAGAAGAGAAGAGCACAUUGUGAGCUGAGAUGAGCGCGCCAAUUAACCAUUUCACACAACCCAAAGUAAAACAUAAUAACUUAAUAUAUUUUAAAAUAAGCUUCUACCAGAUAAAAAUCCUAGCAGUGAUACACGUGGACUUGAUAGAGGAGGGAUUGAGUCAUUCUGUCAUACCUCAGUCAUUGUUCUGUUUUAAACUAACUUUAAUCUAGAGCUAGAAUUAGCAAACAUGGUAGUUUGGGGGCAACAUGUCUCAGUCAUUUUGGGGUUGGUUGUCUCAUGUUUAAAAGAGAUUAAAAUGAACAUAAAGAGUCUGCUUAUCAGCAGUUGUCACAUUGAAAUUUUGACUUUAUUUUUACAGAGAAAAGAGUGGUCUAAAGGAGAGGAGAAAGUGAGAAGACAUGGUCAGGGAUUAAAAAAGAAAAACAGAACAUGGCAGUGCAGUACCUGACGUGAUGCUGAGGACAGUCAGGCAGGUGACCCGAGCUAAUAAAUCAAUCUGGAGGACAAUAAAGGACUUUAAUGUCAACUACCAUACCUUGGCUCGGUAGUGCAAAACAUUUACCCCAGCUGAAAUACAGAGUCAGACAGCUCUCCAAACUCCAGAGCAUGAUGCAUAAUAUUUUGUUAACGUUUGUUUAAUGGCUAUGUUCAACGAUUUUUUCCAACUCAAUGAUAAACAUUUUCUGUGCCUGACUUUGAUGUUCACUUUCAUAUAAAAAAAUGAGAACAACAGUAAUUUUGUUCUUGUUUUAUUAGCUGCAAAAUCCACUGUGACAUCUUACCCCAUGUAGUGAGACAUCUUACCUGAUGGUGGGGCAACAUGUCACAUGUUCACACUCUCCGUUUGAUUGAUUAUAACUCUGCACUGACACAAGAUAUAAAAAUGACAUGAAUACAAAAUAUAUACCUGAAACUUUGGCCUUUAGUCUGGUACAUAUUUUGUUUAUAUACCAUGUAUUGGUUUCAAAAUAUAUAUGAGUGUAUAAAGUGUGACAACAAGCCCCGGUCUCCCCUAUUUAACCUUGCUUGUUUUUUUACUAAAGCAUCAAAAACUGUUUCUCACUAUUCAUGCUGUUUUAUCCUAGAGUCUUUUCUUUAGAUUCUACACAAAUGUUUUAGUUCAUCUAUUUUUUUUUUUUCAUUUAUUAUCUGCAGGUAGAUUGAGGUAGUUAGGUAGAUUGAAAAUGUACUGGAUCACAAUUUAAUGACAUUCACUUUCAAGCCCUUGACCAAUCGCCAAUCUCCUUGUCAUCAUAAUUUAAAUUUUGUCAGCCAUGACAGCUCAAUAUCAUUACUAACUUCAAAGCUCCGGACAGCGGUGACUUUAAUCAGGAAGUUCCAGCCCCAGUGCCCCUCUGUCACCUCGGGGUUGUUCAGUGUAGCUGAUUCCUGUCAGAUUAAUAUAAAGAUGAAGCCCUGCACAUGUGAGACAACCUCAGAGAAGUCUAAGGGAACUCAAAAUAAGUAAAGAUAAGUCAUUUUCAGGAAGUUGUUUGUUCUCUGUGAUCUUGCUCGAGCUUUUAUAAACAGAAGUUGUGUCUUAUAGAGGUCAAAGAAAAGCAUAGAUGUGAUAAAUCGAUGACUAGUAUAUUGACACAAAAUAAAUUGAGACACAAUGAUUAAACAGGAUUUCACAGAAGUCCUCUAUAGAAGGUUUCUAAAUAAGUCCACCAGGGGGCAAUCAUGUUACAUCAUGUAAGACAUGUCUUACAGUUUUAAUUUCAAGGCCAAAGACAGACUGUUAAAUAUUUCUCGCUUUUGUCAGUGGAUUUUAGUUUAUGACACAAUAAUAAGGCAACAUAAUGGAGAGCAAAGCCAGUUUUGUAAGACAUGGGUGUGGGUAGAGGAAUAGAAACUCAAUGAACUUCUUAACUGUGCAUAAUAUCAACUGAGGAGAAGAAAUUCACCAUUGGAUGAUGAUUGGAAAACAACACAUGAACCAUAAAAUUGGGAUUUUAUUCCUUUUUGAUUUUCAAAGGAUUAUUUGUCCCAGGCCACCAGCACUCUGGUAUUAUUACAUCAGCUGCAGGGAGGGGAGGAUGGGAAGCAGUUCGAGAAGUGAAGGAAAGAAAAGGGGAAAAUAUGGGAAUAGGGAGACAUGAAAGCUGGGGGGGGAAUAAAAAAAAACAAGAAUGGGUGCGAGAAAGUGAUAAGGUGACAAGUUGUCAUUGCGUGGUGAAGCGUGUCUACACUGUGCGUCCAUCCCCAUAGCAACUCGAACCAGGCCUGAUAUAAAUGCAACAGGGCAGCAUCCUCCCUCCCUUCUUUUGGCUCGUUUUGCAAGCUACAUCCCUCCCUCUCCUUAUCUUUUUUCACGCUUUACUCUCUGAACACGCACUUGCUCUUCUUCCUUCCUCAUCAGCCAGAUAAAAACCUGUAUAACUCUCUCUCUCUCUCUCUCUCUCUCUUUUUUUUCUCUCUGACAGUGCAAGAAUACUUGAGUUCCUCCUCCACAUUGUCCUCUCUCCCUUCUUUUGAGGAAAUGUGACCCCCGGGUUUCUUGAAUGAUCUAAUUUCUGCUAUGCAAACAACAUCAUGUACACUGUAGCACAAAAACUGCUUUGAAAGAGACUACCUCUCUCUGUGAGUGUGCAUACAAGUCUCUGAAUGUGUCUACAUAAAAGAGUGACAAAUUGGCCCUUUUGUUCCCAUAAUAACAAAUCACACUGAUUUUUCACACCCAUAUGAUUGAUUACCAUGCAGCCAUUGGCCUGGCAUCCACACAAUUUCCCUCAGCUAGCUGAAAAUUAAACACCACAAGAUUAUUCUUAACAAGGUUAUCCUUAUCCAAAGAAAGUCUGUGAAAUAACACAAAGGCAUUAUGUGAAAAUCAACCUGUGUUUCGUGAAGUCAAAAUGAAGCUUUAUUCCUGGAAGUCAAAGCACUUAAAGGGAUAUUCCAGCGUAAAAUUAAUUUAGGGUCAAACACACCGUAACACCGAGUUAGACACCUCCUUAAGAGAUGAAUGUUGCUGACCGCUUGCUUCUCUAGUUAAACCAACUUUUGUAACGACCGCAGGAUAGCAAUACACAGCAGUCUGAGGAGCCAUAAACAAACCUCAUCCAACACGCCACUCUAUAGCCACAAAUAAUGCUCAGAACAGCACCUAACUUCAUCAACAGUACAUAAACGGUCCUAGACACAGCACUAGCCACCAAAUAUCUUUUUUAACUUUGCCUGAUUUCUUUAGCAAAGAGACUAAACACAACUCACCUACUCUCUUCCAGCAGCCGCUUGUUUGUAGCGAGACCUCAGGCCAGUCCAUGUUUGGUGGCUAGUGCUGUGGCUGGGACCCUAUAUGUACUGUUGAUGAAGUUAGGUGCUGUUCUGAGCAUUAUUUGUGGCUAUAGAGUGGCUUUUUGGUUGAGGUUUGUUUACGGCACCUCAGACUGCUGUGUAUUGCUAUCGUGCGGUCGUUACUAAAGUUGGUAUAACUGGAGAAGCAAGCGGUUGGCUACAUUCAUCUCUCGAGGGGGUGUCUAACUCAGUGUUACGGUGUGUUUGACCCUAACUUAAUUUUACACCGGAAUAUCCCUUUAAUCCAUACAUUAAACACAACUUUUCGAAAAAGGCGUUUAACAGAGAUUCACACAGAGCAGAAAAAUUGCUGCAGUGCUCAUGCUGAGUUAAGUACAUUGCACUUUUUACCACAAACUCCAAUCAGUGAUGUCACAGCAGGUGCUUUCCAUUAGCCGUCCAAAGUGAAACACCUGCUGAGAUAUCACUGAUUUGAGUAAAGACAACAGUCUACAGAAAACAUGUAGAGCAGCAGCAGUUUUGUAUGGAUUCAACCUUUGAACAUGCUCUGAUCAGCAUUUUCAUGUUUUCACACAAUGCUGUCCUUAUAGUUCAUGGACUGUACUUCCAUACCAUUUCUUCCCUUUUACUCAAAUUACUCAAAGUGCUAUUAUACCACGUCACAUUCACCCAUUAAUAUAGUAGGUUCCCAAAAGUGCUUUUUACAGUUCCCCAAAGUCAUAACUGCUCCUAUUGAUGUGCAUUCAAAUGCUGCAAUCUGACACCUCAGCUUGCAGACAACAGGAGCUGGGAUCGAACCCCCAACCUCACAACUGGGAAUCCACUGACUCUUGCACUGAGCUCAAUGUGGACACGGACAUGAAAAGCUUUCAGUGUUAUCAUCUGCAUCAAUACUGAUUGUUGCUAGGUGAAUCACCACUAUUUUCUUUGAAGAUUUUGCUUAUUCUACUUAUAUGCCACGCUACAGGAAUGGUAGAAGAGUGAGAAGAAAAGAAGUGAUUGUCAGGAUGAGGAAUGGAAUUGUGGAAACCUCAUCCAGCAUUUACCCUGUGCUGACUGACUCUCAUGCCCUUGUGCUAACUGGUAAUAAAUUAUCCUGCAAAUUAAGCGUGGUCUACUGAGAACACAGAAACAUUUAUUACAGAUUCACUGCAGGCCAAGUCAUCAGUGUCAGUAAUCUUUCAACACUGAAGAGGAAGAGUUUCACAUGUACUGGGUACUGCACAGCAGAGGGAGUGAAAAAAAAACAACGUUUACCCUCCAUUCAAGGGUCCAUCUCCUCUCGUUUCUGCCACAUCCCUUCUCUUCAGGUCUGGUGUUUAUCUUCAAUUCUCCUCUGUACCUUUCAUCUUGUCAUCCACACCACCACCACCACCACCUCCUCCUUCUGCUCUUCCUUUUUUCUUCCUUCUCCCCUACCUCCCCCACUCUCUUCCUUUGGUUUCUUUUCCCAGACAUACCAGAGACAGAGAGAUCCCCCAGACAUACUAGAUCAAUGGCCAUGAUAGGAGCCUCCGAGAGUCAGGAAAGGAAAUUACACGGCUGUGCUCACCGCCAGCAGAUUUCUUAUUUCCAAAAGCCUCUGAAUGCAGCCUCUCAUUUUGAUUUCUGGAGCUUUGAUAAGUUACAUUGAUGCAGACCUAAAAAGAGAGGCUGGUUGGCAAUGUGAUGCCUCUUCAGCUUCUCCCUCGCUUUCUGAGAAUAAUAUUGUUUUAAUAAAACCUUGACUCCAGUCCUCUGAUGAUAAUUGUGAGGCAUAAAGAGGUUAUUUCUGUAAAGCAGCAAAGAAACAUUUUGAGUAAAAAAAAAACAGUAUUUGUUUUUAGUAACUGCAGCUACACUGGCCACCACUGAAACCUUGUGUGACCUCUGAGCAGGAUGUGUGUUUACAUGUUGAGGGUGUGGGUGUGUGUGUGUGUGUUGGGGGUGGGGUGGGGGGCAGUCCAGUGUUGGAUGAGUGUCAGAAGAGAGCAUCUGCUCGGGAAACACACUUACAGACAUCUCAUGCAUUAUUCACUAAACGGAGCCAUAAUACAGGCGUGUGCAUGCACUCAUGUCAUGUGUUUGUGUCUAUGUGUGUUGGCAAGCUCGGCUUUGUGCUUUUCUUUGACUCAUGUUCUCAUGAAAUGUCAGCAAAACACACAAAUGAAAGACAUGAAUAACAUAUAAACAAAUGACACAUAAUUAUCACUCAUAGAAAGUGCACCGCAAAGUGUCAAGAUGCAGAUGGCAAGAAAAUAUCUCCCUAAUAACAGGAAAUAAAAAGAGCUACUGCCUCUUAUCUGAUAUUAAGAUAACAGCUCUACAAGAAAAACACUUAACAAAAUCUUUAUGAACCUUUCAAGUUUAAAAUUGAAAUACCUUGAGGACACUGCUCUAGGUUGAGUUUAAUUUAAUUUAUUAGGAUCUUUGUUAGCGUUCAUAUUGCAGCAGCUAUUCAGCUAUUCUUCCUGAUAUUUUAAAUGUAUUUGAUAUAUAUGUUUUAUAUGUUUAUGGUUAGCCCGCUCCACUGUGGAUGUCACUGCACACACUGUUGGAGUCCGCUGUUCUGUUUUGCUGGACUCCUCUGCUGAAAGCUCAGAUGAACCAGUAAGGAGAGACGAUAAUUCUUACGUUAGAAAGUAAAAGUAAAUGCCAUUUGUCCGAGAUUUGAGCACUUUACAUCUUUUUUUUUUUUUAAUUAUGACAACAUAUGUUUGGCUACCUUGUGAUUUGAAACCUUGCAUACAUGUAGUAUGGACACCAAACUUACUUUUACAGUUUUUGUUGUAAAUGUGGAAAAGCACAAUACGCCCCCUUUAAUAUAGAAGUUCACUCUGUGGUCAAUACUGUAGUUUUUGGCAGCUUUUUAUUUCUGUAUAUAUUAAUAAAAAAAAAAGUUUUUUUUUUUUUUUUUCUACAACAACAGAGUUGCAAAAUGCUCUCUUAAACUCAAAUGUUACCUGUUCAGCAAUGUCCUUACAGAUUCUGAGACUGUCAUCCAGUUUUUGUAAGAAAAAAAAGCUAAUAUUUUAUCCAAUAUGACACAAAUUAGACUCUAUACAACAAUCAGUUGUCUGGCUAACAAAAACAUCACAGGGAUCUUUUCUGAUUUGUUCUUUUUAUUACUCCUGAUCCAGUUCUGUGGAAGCAGUCUGGCACCGUCUGGAGGUUUAGUCUUCACUUUGAUGCAAACUGGAAUGGAUGUUUGAUGCCUUCAUGCAGUCAUUAACCGGCUGUCGAUCCCCUUUCUCCUUUCUCCAGAGACAUGCAUGUAAGUCCUUCCUCAGCAUUCCACCGACAUUAGGAGGGGGGUUGUAGUGACAUUGUCACAGCAACCCCUGACCCCAUCCUGUCACUGAACAAGUCCCCCCUACUUCAGCCAGGCAGAGCUGGCUGCCUUUUAUCCUCUGAAUCCAUCCCCCACUAUUUUUCUCUCCAGUCACCAAAUUACUGC